GUGUCAGCAGCCGCGGUAAUACGUAGGGUGCGAGCGUUAAUCGGAAUUACUGGGCGUAAAGCGUGCGCAGGCGGUUGACUAAGCUUGCUGUGAAAGCCCCGGGCUUAACCUGGGAAUGGCAGUGAGGACUGGUCGACUGGAGUGUGGCAGAGGGGGGUGGAAUUCCACGUGUAGCAGUGAAAUGCGUAGAGAUGUGGAGGAACACCGAUGGCGAAGGCAGCCCCCUGGGCUAACACUGACGCUCAGGCACGAAAGCGUGGGGAGCAAACAGGAUUAGAUACCCCAGUAGUCC
rnacentral:rRNA from 1 species